UAUUUAAUCGCCCCCGAAAGGAUGAAAGGCAAAGUCGACCUCGGUGGAAUUUGAACUCAGAACGUAACGGCAGACGAAAUACGGCUAAGCAUUUCGCCCGGCGUGCUAACGUUUCUGCCAACAUAUAAGAGAGGGUUAUACAGACAAAUGUUGAGUUUUAAGUUUGAUCAUCAAAUCUUACAACGUCAUGUUUAAACCUUUUUUGUAUUUCUUAACCGAAAAAUCGACGCCCCUCUGUCUGCGGCAGCGUGAGCUCCACUUGGAUAGAAUCCAGUCGUACACAAAUACUAAAGAAAAAAAGUAAAAGAUACCUCUGUAAGUCGAAACUAUAUUUUCAUUUCGUAUUUCCACUCAUGUAAACAGAUCCUCGUGAUAUCCAAGACAAGAGACUAAACUACAAGAGACGAUACCUGCAGACGUUUCUCUUAGGAUUUUUUAAGAAUUUCUGUAGAAUUAAUUAUGGAAGACGUUAAUCACUUGGACACUUUUAACUCGACUGUUUUUAACUCUGUUAAUUCAGUAACACAAACACAGAGCGAUGAGAAGCCUUUACGCAGGGAAACAAUUAUUGAACAAUCAUCGUUAGAGAGAAAUAUUCCUGGAUAUUGCAGUGAAAUUUACCAGAAAAUAUUUUCUGAAGAUGAAUCGUUUACAUAUAAAGAAAUUCAUAAUGGGGAAUUGACCGAAAACUCUUAUCAGUGUGAGAUUUGUGGGAAAGAUUUUGUCUCUAACAGUAAAUUAACAAAGCACAAGAGGGUACACGGUGGAGAAAAACCCUUUCACUGUGAAAUUUGUGGUAAAUCAUUCUUUGAAAAGUCUAGCCUCCUUCGUCACCAAAGAAUUCAUACUGGAAAGAAUUUAUUUCACUGUGAAACGUGUGGUAAGUGUUUUGUCUGUAAUAGUAAUUUAACAGCACAUAAACGAACUCAUACGGGAGAAAAACCUUAUGAGUGUGACAUAUGUAAGAAGUCAUUCUCUGAUAAAUCUACUCUUGUAGUUCACCAACGAAUACACUCUGGAGAAAAACUGUUUCACUGUGAAAUCUGCGGAAAGUCUUUUGUCUGUAACAGCAGUUUGACAUCUCACAAGCGGACUCAUACUGGGGAACGACCGUAUCAUUGUGAUGUGUGCGGGAAAUCAUUCUCUGAUAAUUCUACUCUUGUUGUUCAUCGGAGGAUUCAUACGGGGGAGAAAAUAUUCCGCUGUGAAGUGUGUGAGAAGUCUUUUGUCUUUAAUAGUGAUUUGAAGCGUCACGGUAGAGUCCACACGGGGGAAAAACCGUAUCGUUGCGAAAUCUGCGGAAAAUCUUUCUGUGAUUAUUCUCAUCUUUUACGCCACCGAAGAAUUCACUCUGGGGAGAAAAUAUACGGCUGUGAAAUAUGUGGGAAGGGUUUUGUUUCUAAGAGUAAUUUGAAAAAACACAUUAGGGUUCAUACGGGGGAAAAGCCUUACGAAUGUGAAAUAUGUGGUAAAUCAUUCUCUGAUCAUUCUGGAUUUGUAGUUCAUCAGAGAAUUCAUUCUGGAGAUAAACGAUUCCGUUGUGGGAUAUGUGAGAAGUCGUUUGUUACGAACUGUGAUUUAAAGAGGCACAGCCGGAUACACAGCGGGGAAAAACCGUAUCCGUGCGAGACAUGCGGGAAAUCUUUUAUGAUAAAAAGUACAUUGACGAAACACAACCGAAUUCAUACUGGGGAAAAACCGUAUCGUUGCGAGAUAUGUGGAAAGUCGUUCUGCGAUAACUCUAGUCUCUCGGUUCACCGAAGGACGCAUACAGGUGAAAAACGAUUUCAGUGCGAGGUAUGUGACAAAUCGUUUGUUACUAACGGUCACUUGAAAUCGCAUAGGAGGAUUCAUACCGGGGAAAAACCUUUUCACUGCCAAACUUGUGGGAAAUCGUUUCGUGAAAAUUCUUACCUUGUAAUACACAAACGCAUUCAUACAGGAGAGAAACCCUUUCACUGUGACUUGUGUGGGCUGUCGUUUGUAUCUAACAGUGAUUUAACAAAACACAUCAAGAAACAUGCUGGAGGCAAAACUAUUCCAGUAUGACAUGAAUGGAGUGUCUUUGUAUCUAACAGUGAAUUAAGAAAACAGUUAAAGAAAAGUAUUGGAGAAAAAAAACUAUUCCACUGAAAAAUGUGGGGAAACUUUUGUGUCUGACAAUGAUUUAAUCAUACUCAUAGAAUACCCACAGAUGACAAAACCCUUCCACUGCAAUAUGUGUGGGAUGUCUUUUUGUAUGUAAUAGCGAUUGGGGAAUAUUUUGCACAGGACUUUUGUUUUGCCAUUCACAAUGUAGUGAAUCGGCAAAGUGACUUUAUGACUUUAUCAUUGUGAAAUAUCCCGAUUGUAAUAUAGUGUGUACAAACGUUCAAAUGGUACUGCAUGAGGAGUGGGACCCAUGCAGCCAUUUCAUUUUCCAUUUUUAUAUAAUAUUCAUCCUCAUUCAUUUUAUGUUUAUUGUCCCCACUGUGGUGUUGUGUCUGUCCUUGUUAUGUCUACUCUUCGUCCAGGCUAUAUGCCUAUAAUAAAGAUUUAGAGUAUACUU